rnacentral:misc_RNA from 1 species
GAAAAUUAAUUGGUGGAACUUAAGGCAAAACAGUAAAAUUUUUAAGGCCUCCACAUCAUAUACUAAAUCAGCAAAAUUGUGAGCCGAGUUGGUGACAACCAGUCAUAUGUCAUUCUUGAAACAAAUAUUAAUUUAUUCAAACUGACACAGAUUUGCACUUUUAUGACUUCAGCUAAACUAAUUAAAUUCCAGAAAUAGACAGCUUUAGUGCAACAAAAUCAUCAAAUAAAUUAAGAGAACAAGGUACCUCUCUGGAGACACGAUCCCA